GACGAACGCUGGCGGCGUGCUUAACACAUGCAAGUCGAACGAAGUGGCGAACGGGUGAGUAACGCGUAAUCAACCUGCCCUUCAGAGGGGGACAACAGUUGGAAACGACUGCUAAUACCGCAUACUGAAGGAGGGGACUGCGUUUCAUUAGCUAGUUGGGGGGGUAACGGCCCACCAAGGGGAUGAUCGGUAGCCGGUCUGGGAGGAGGAACGGCCACCUUGGGACCGGGACACGGCCCAGACUCCUACGGGAGGCAGCAGUGGGGAAUCUUCCGCAAUGGACGAAAGUCUGACGGAGCAACGGCGCGUGAGUGAUGACGGCCUUCGGGUUGUAAAGCUCUGUUAAUCGGGACGCGGUACCGGAAUAGAAAGCCACGGCUAACUACGUGCCAGCAGCCGCGGUAAUUC
rnacentral:rRNA from 1 species